GAGGGCAUGUGAGGCAAAAUUCUGUAAGCCUCUCCUGACCCCUCGGUAAUAAAAAUAGCCAUGCACACCCCUCUCCACUGUGCCCCCUAGGCUUGGGUGCCGCCCCCCUAGCCACCCCAGCUCCUAGGAAUGAUUGGAAUUCCAGGAGUAUGAUCCUUAGGUGCCCUGGGCGGCUCAUCCCUGGGAGGUGGGCAGGGUGUGGGGGUGGCCUCUGCACCCUUUGAUCCCUUGUUGAGUCUGCCUUCCCUUGCCUGCUUGGGCCCCUAGACGAGCACUGCCCUCUCUAGCAAACCCAAGGGCAUCCUGCUUGGCACCUGUCCCCCUCCAAGGGUCCAAAGGCAAGGGCCCUACCAGCUGGCACCCCCUGCAGAGGCCCUCCUUCCUGCCGCAGGCAUAAACCUUUCUUUGCCCAGAGGUCUCUACCAGCAAAGAGGAUAAAAGAGACUACACCUGGACAAACCCUCCCAGGCCCAGGCCUGAGCCUCACAUGUGGCCCCGGGGAAGGCAUCAGGGACUCCCUUUGCCCUCCCACUGACCUCCCUGCAAACCUCCCCCAAACCAAGGGGCAUCCUCAGCUGGCCAGACCCUGGGGGAAGGGAGAGAGCCGAGGAUCACCGGCACCUGUGGCUGGGUUACCCCUGCCAUGGACCACUGGGUGAUCAAGAAGUCAUUCCAAAAUGUGAAGCGUUCUGAAGAUAUGCACAUAGCGUAAGAACCUGGUGUAAUGUGCUGGUCAAGGCGGUCUCAGAGAGGAGAUGACGUUUGAGCUGACACCUGAGGGAUGAGAAGAAAGCAGCCAUUCCCAGGGCCCAGGGGAGGCAUCCCAGGAAGCCGGAUCAGCAUGAGCAAAAGCCCUGAGGCCUGGCACAAGUUGGUCUGCUUGAGAAGCAGGAGAGAGCCCUGAGCAUCCGGAGUGCAGCAAGCGAGGUGCACAGAGGAGCAGGAAGGGGCUGGGAGAAGGCUGGGGCCGGAUCAUGCAGGACAGGCUGGAGGAAGGGGCUUGAAUUGUCUUCUGACCACUGAGGGGAUAUAAACAUGAGGGCAAAAUCAUCUGAUUUCCAUGUGCAAAGGCCCACUCUGGCUGCUCUAGAGAGAACAGAUGAUUGCAGGGUAAAAGUGGAUUUAGAGAGGUCAGAUGGAGGCUGGGUACGUGCCGUGUAUGGUAGAUAGCAUGCUACCAAAUACACUCACAGAUGAGCAAGUCAAGAUGCAGAAGGACUCUCUGGCUUGUCCAAGGUCACACGGCUGUUAGGAGCAGAGCAGCGUCCUGGUGCCCAAGCCCUGAGGUCCCCAGCACACUGCCUCUGCAAUGGCCACAACUGUCCAAAGACUAAGCUGACUCUCACACCUGGUAGUGUCUGUGGUCAUUCACUGUGGAUGGAAGUGGAGAAAUGCAGAAAACAGAAACACAGCUUCCCCUUUUCUGUCAUAUUUCUGUAUCGUUGGUGUUUGGAGCCAGUUGAGCACAAAGGGCCCCUGAGUGCUGUUUCCUUGUGAUAUUUGGGGGUUAACAGCUUCCCCUCAUCUCUUAAUUACCUGCCCUCCUUCACUUCAGCUGCACAUUCGUUAAAGAAUGCUCUCCCAGGAGAAGAGCUUGGUGUUAUCACCCACAAACAUCUUAGAAAACUAAUGCUAUCCUUGAGUGCCUGUUUACAGAAACAUUUUUACAUCUCACUUGACAUUUCCAGCAAAUCUUGAUCCUUCCAGCCAGGAAUAUUAAUAUAUAGGUCUUGAAAAGUGCAAGAGGCUCUUCCAUGGCUCCAAGCACAUUUGACACUCUUCCUUUUCUGAUCCCCAAGCAGACAGUGAUGAAACCCCAAUAGCUGGGCGAAUACUCAUCCAACAGGAAGAAUCAGUUUUAAGAGCUGGGUUCUCAGGGUCAAAUACUGUGGUGUGGCCUUUUGGUUGUAAUGAGUUGAAUGGAGGUCUCAAAAAAGAUAUAUCCAUGUUCUAAUCCCCAGAACUUGUGAAUGUGACCUUAUUUGGAAAAAGAGUCCUUUUGGAUGUAAUUAAGUUAAGGAUUUUGAGAUAAGGAGAUCAUCCUGGGUUAUCUGGGUGGACCCUAAAUCUGUUGACAAUGUCCUUAUGAGAGACCCCAGAGGGCACAGACAGGAAAGGAAGAGGCAAUGUGGCCCCAGAGGCUGAGAUCAGAGCUCUGUGGCCACAAUUCGAGGAACACCUGGAGCCACCAGAAGCUGGAGGAGGCAAGGAACAGAUUCUCCCUGAUCCUCUGGAUACAGAGGGAGAAUAGCCUGGCCGACACCUUGAUUUUGGACUUCUGGCCCCCAGAACUGAGAAAAUUAACUUCUGUUGUGUUAAGCAGCCACGUUUGUAGCAGUUCAUCAUAGCAGCCCUGGGAAAGAAAUACAGUGGGCUUCCAGUUCAAGGAGGAUCCACGAGGCCUGAGCUCCAUCUGUCGAUUGGAAUCACCAAAAUCAAGGUUGUGUGCGGGUAACGCCAGCACAAGCAGCUCAUGCUGGCAAAAGCAGACCAAACCGGCUCACGCAACGUCAAGUCAUCUUGAAGUGGUUCACGCACCACAGUGAGUGGUAUUGAUUGUGGUUAAGAGCCAGGUUCAAGGAGGUUUAUCACUCAGUAGCCAGGUAAAGCAGGUUCCAGGCCUGGCUCCACCACUCAACAACCGGGGAAACAGGGGUAAGCUUCUUAAAUGCUCCGUGUCUCAGUUUCUCCAUGUGUAAAAUGAGGGCACUAAUAACAGUCCCUACCUGCAAGGUGGUUGUGAAGAUGAUAUGAAUUCAUAUAUGUAAGGCACUUGGAAUUGACAAUACUGACAUACCACAAAUACAAAAUAAGUGUCUGCCAUUAUUAAGCUAACCCAAAUCAAAACAGACACAGAUGAAUUCAGAAUACUCAAGUAGACUCAGAUAUGUUCAAAUGGAGCCCACCAGUUAAAACUAGCUGAGACCAGUGUAAACUGGCUCAAGCCUUUUGGGCCAAGCUGUACUAAAACCAGAUUAAAUCAGUCAAAACAGGAUUAGAAUAGUCAGUCUGGAAUCUCUACACGCACGCCUGCACAUUUGAGGGGUCUCUCUCCGCCCCCUCUGUACAUCAGAUUGAAUAGUAACAAACAGUCCCACAUCUCCCAAGAAUGAGCAUAAUGGACAAGCAGAGGGCCGCCAAUGUCCCCACCAGAACGAGCAUAAUGGACAGGCAGGGGGCCGCCGAUGUCCCCACCUAAGACAUGCAGACAUUUCCCUGUCGGAAACGCGCUCAGAUUCUUUACGGCAGGUCAAGGCUCAAAUAUCAGAAACCAAUUUCACUCACACUAACUAAACAAGAGACGGGAUCUGUGGUUCAGGAUCCUGAGGCACUCGUGAAACUCAUGGGUAGGAAGGUCAGCUGGAGCCAGUUAGUGUCUGGAAGGCUAUCAGAGCUCAAGGCCCCUCUCUCUGGCCCAUGGAGGGGAAUUAACUCCCUCAAAGGCAGGAGCUCAGUGAGCAGGAGGCUGGUAGGGAGGUGGGAGCUGCAGGUGACCGGUUAGAAGUCAGAGGCUGUUGUGGGGGGCAGCUUGCACCAGUGGACACAAGAGCCCCAACUUGUGGGCACUUGGAAGUCCCAGGCUGUUCCCUGGCUCCACCCCGUCCUCUGGGGUGCCUGCUUCACAGAGCACCAAUAAUGCGUUUGUGUCACUCUAUGUUUCCUGGCAGGAGCAGACCUGCAGAGGGGCCAGAAGACACCUGGCCGGGUGGGGAGCAGCCCCUCCGUAAUAACAAUCGGAACCUGGGAAGAUAAGUAGAGUCCCAGGGGAGGGACAGAGUUUCCCCUGUGUCACCACAUGGCUACUUUGACACAAAUGCACGUGGGCAGAGAGAGGCAUGCAGGUCAAGGGCCUGGCAGGGAGUCAGGGGCCCUCAGUGCCAGUCCUGGCUCUGCCUCUGCCUCUGACACGCCAUGUGACCUUGAGCAAGUCACCACCCUGUCUGGGCUUCGCUAACCCAUAUACGGAAUGAGAAGGUAUCGUCCCUGGUCACUGCAGGUUUUAAAUCAUGUAGUGAGAGAGAGCUCAUUUGGUCCAACUCUCUGCAACUGAAGGAAUGGAGACACCAAGGGGGAGUAAUCGGCCGCAGUGAUGAGUGGGUGGCAAAGGGAGCUAUCACUACCAUUGAUUAUCCAGCUACUUGUGCUUGAUAAACUCCCUCCUGGUGGAAUGGGCUUUCCCACAUCCAGCAGCACAAAUGCUGUGAGCAUCUACUACGGGCUGGGCACCUUCUCUGGGCUGGCACUUGACAUGGGUUAUCUCAUUUAACUCCCUAACAACCCUAUGUGGUAUUAUCAUCCCCAUUUCACAGGCGGCAAAACUGAAUCCCAGAGAGAAGACUCACUCAGACACAGCUAUCUGAACACUCUUUUCCAGUUCCCCUAGGGCAGCAGAGGAAGCAAGGUGGGGGGAAGCCAGUGGUCAAGGAUUCCAUGCGGAAUGUACCCUAGAAUUAACCCAUGGAGAGAGGGUAAGGGAACGGGCUCAGGCCUGGGAAGAAGUGGGGAGGACAGUGUCCUGUUGACCUAUUCAAAAACAUCCAGUUUUAGUUAAUUUUUAGUUCAUUAGUCACCACUUUUUAUUAGUAUCUCAUGUAUUCUUUCACAGUUUCUUUCUGCAGGUACAAAAAUAAUGAUUUUUUUUCUUUCUUUUUCUUCUUUGAGACAGGGUCUCGCUCUGUUGCCCAGGCUGUAGUACAAUGGUGCAAUCUCGGCUCACUGCAACCUCUGCCUCUGGGUUCAAGCGAUCCUUUGCCUCCGCCUCCUGAGUAGCUGGAAUUACAGGCAUGCACCAUGAUGCUUGGUUAAUUUUUGUAUUUUUAGUAGAGUCAGGGUUUUGCUAUGUUGGCCAGGCUGGGCUCCAACUUCUGGUCUCAAGUGAUCCACCCGCCUCGGGCUCCCAAAGUGCCAGGAUUACAGGCGUGAGCCACUAUGCCUGGCCAAAAGUGGCGAUGUGUUCUUAAUGCCCAUUUUCACAUAAAAGGUAAUAAUCUACCCACACCAUGCUGUACCUUGUUUGUUUUUUGUGUGUUUGUUUGUUUGUUUUUUGACAGAGUCUUGCUCUGUCAGCUAGGCUAGAGUGCAGUGGCACAAUCUCAGCGCGCUGCAACCUCCGCCUCCCGGGUUCAAGCGAUUAUCCUGCCUCAGCCUGCUGGGUAGUUGGAAUUACAGGAGCCUGCCACCAUGCCCAGCUAAUUUUUGUGCUUUUAAUAGAGAUGGGGUUUCACCAUGUUGGCCAGGCUGGUCUCGAACUCCUGACCUCAAGUGAUCCAUCCACCUUGGCCUCCCGAAGUGCUGGGAUUACAGGCGUGACCCACCGCGCCUGGCUCUUGUUUGUUUUUUUAACUAAUCACACAUCUUAGAGACCUUUAUCAGUAAUUAGAGAGCUUCCUGGAUCUUUUAUAUCACUGCAUAAUAAAUAUUCUAUUAUAUAGAUUAGAAUAAUUCAAAUUACCAGUUCCCUAUUGGUGGACAUUUGUUUCUGGUUUGUUUGUUUUUUCUAUUUUUUUUCUUAUCACAAACAGUGCUGCAAUAAGUAAUUGUGCAUAUGCACUGUUUCACAUGUGUGCAGGUAUACCUGCAGGAUAAAUUCCCAAAAAUGAAUUCCUGAUUUAAGAGUAUCUUUUUUUUUUUGAGACAGGGUCUUGAUCUGUUGCCCAGGCUAAAGUGCAGUGGCAUGAUCACGAUGCACUGCAGCCUCAGCCUCCUGGGCUCAAGCGAUCUUCCCACCUCAGCUUCCCAAGUAGCUGGGACUACAGGCAUGUGGCACCACGGCUGGUUAAUAUUCUCAGUGUAACAGAGUUUCAUCACAUUGCCCAGGCUGGUCUUGAACUCCUGGGCUCAAGCAAUCCUCCCACCUCAGCAUCCCAAAGUGCUGGGAUCACAGGCAUGUGCCACCAUGCCUGGCAGGUUGAAAGUACUGUAUGAGUUAUCUAUUGCUGCAUACCAGAUUAUCAUAAACUCAGCAGUUUAAAAAAACACCCAUUGUUUAGCUCACAGUCUCACCUGAACUGGGUGCUGAGUUCAGGGUGAAACCAAGGUGGCGGCCAGGCUUGGUUCUUUUUUGGAAGCUCUGGGGGGAAAAUCUACUUCCAAGGCCAUUCUUGUUGUUGGCAGAAUCUGGAUCCUUGUGGUUGUAGAACUGAGUCUCUGGUUUCUUGCAGGCUUCCAGGAGGGGCCUCCCUGGGCUCCCGGAGGACACCCACAGUCCUCACCAUGCAGCUCCCUCCAACAUCAAGCCAGGAAUGGCCGAACAGAUCUUUCUCAUGCUUCAAAUCUCUGAUGAAUUUCUCUUGCCAGAGAAAGCUUGCCAUUUUCCAAGGGCUCACCCAGUCAGAUCCGUCCAACAAGGGUGAUCUCCCUAACAUUAGGUUAACUGACUUGGAACCUCAGUUAAUCUGCAAAAUCCCUUUUGUCAUAUAAUGGAAUACAAUCAUUUGGUUCACAUGCUCAUCUUAUUCACAGGCCCUACACUCAUACAAGGGCAGGGGACCACAGAAGAGUGAAGGCCAGUGAGGGUCACCUCAGAAUUCUGCCCAACACCGGUGUUUUGUAAUUUGGGUAGAUGUUGCCAUGUUGUCCUCCGUGGGGAUUAUGCAGAGGGAACUCUCCUCCUCCAGCAACAGUACAUGUACCUGCUUUUCCAUGGUGCUGCUUAGAGAAUGUUAUCAAACCUUUGGAUUUCUGCCAGUCUGAUAGGAGAAAAAUGGAAUCUCAAUUGUAUUUUAAAAUUGUAAUUAUCGCCUUAUGAAUAAGGCUGAGCAUUUCCUCAAAAGCAUAAGAGCCAUUUAUAUACUUUUUUCUUUAUGGCUUCUGGUUUUGAGGCAUAGAAAGGUCUUUCUAGCUCUAAAGUUAAUCAGAAAUUCUCUGUUUUCUUUUUGCUUUUUUUAAAAUUUUACUUUAAGUCCUUGGAUACAUGUGCUGAACGUGCAGGUUUGUUACAUAGGUAUACAUGGGCCAUGGUGGUUUGCUGCACCUAUCAACCCGUCAUCUAGGUUUUAAGCUCCACAUGCAUUAGGUAUUUGUCCUAAUGCUCUUCCUCCUCUUUCCCCAUGCCCCCAACAGGCCCCGGUGUGUGAUGUUCCCCUCCCUGUGUCCAUGUGUUCUCAUUGUUUAGCUCCCACUUAUGAGUGAGAACAUGCAGUGUUUGGUUUUCUGUUCCUGUGUUAGUUUGCUGAGGAUGAUGGUUUUCAGCUUCAUCCAGGUCCCUGCAAAGGACAUGAACUCAUUCUUUUUUAUGGCUGCAUAGUAUUCCAAGUUGCAUAUGUGCCACAUUUUCUUUAUCCAGUGUAUCAUUGAUGGGCUUUUGGGUUGCUUCCAAGUCUUUGCUAUCGUAAGUAGUGCUGCAAUAAACAAAUGUAUGCAUGUGUCUUUAUAGUAGAAUGAUUUAUAAUCCUUUGGGUAUAUACCCAGUAAUGGGAUUGCUGGGUCAAAUGGUAUUUCUAGUUCUAGAUCCUCGAGGAGUCGCCACACUGUCUUCCACAAUGGUUGAGCUAAUUUACACUCCCACCAACAGUGUAAACGUGUUCCUAUUUCUCCACAUCCUCACCAGCAUUUGUUAUUUCCAGACUUUUUAAUGAUUGCCAUUCUAACUGGCAUGAGAUGGUAUCUCCUUGUGGUUUUGAUUUGCAUUUCUCAGCUCAUUGCAACCUCUGCCUCCCAGGUUCAAGCAAUUCUCCUGCCUCAGCCUCCAGAGUAGCUGGGAUUACAGGGGCACGCCACCAAGCCCAGCUAAUUUUUGUAUUUUUAGCAGAAACAGGGCUUCACCAUGUUGGCCAGUCUGGUCUCAAACUCCUGAUCUCAAGUGAUCCAUCCACCUCAGCCUCCCAAAGUGCUGGGAUUAUAGGCGUGAGCCACCACGGCUGGCCAUUCUCCUGUGUUUUCUUCUGGGGCUUUUAUACUUUCAUUUUUUAAAAUCCAUAGUUUCUUGGAGCUGGAGGUGUCCCUUGUCAUUUUCUCAUCAGUGAGUGCAAAGCAGGAUCCCAAAAGGAUUGGAGUCCAGAGUAGAGAAAGGAGCUGCCGCGGUGGAGUCUGUUCAGUGCAGGCUCUGAUCUCCUUCAGCCCUGCCAGGAAUCCCAGCCAGCAGAUCUUCUUCCAGCUUCCCUUUCUCCAGCACUCUUGAUCUUCUGGGCUGGCACAGGGUCCAGGGUUGAUGGGGAUCCUAGCUGCCUGAGGAGCUUCCAGUCUGGAGGGUGAUACAAGCACAUGGCCAGACCUGAAUUCAAGCCAUGAGAGAGAUUCAGAACCUGGGCUGGGAGCGCAGGGGAGGGAGCGGGGUGCUGAUGGGGGUGGAUGGGAGGCUCCAGAGAGGAGGUGGCGUCUGAACUGAACCUUAAGAAUGAGGGGAAAUGUAAUGGCAGCGAUGAGAAAGGGGAGGCACUUCAGUGCAGAGAACAGCAAGAGCAAAGACAAGGAGGUGGAAAAUCAGCCAGAAACCUAGCCUGGAGAGGGUUUAGUGGACCAUGGGUCCUUGAUGGUAGAGACACAACAUGACUUAUCUCUGUGUCCCAUCCUCUGUGCCAGAGGCGGCAUCGACCAGACUUGGACAAAUGAAGCAGAAGGGACAGGGGACUUAGAAUACUAGGCUGCAUCAUUUUCUUUUUACUCUGACAGUGAGAAGCAAAGACCUCCACAAAGAAAGAAGCCCUUGGCUGUGUCAUCAUUUUAGAAUCUGGGCACUCUCUGCACACCACUGCCCCCUCAUGGCUGAUCUAGGAAUUCUCUCUAAAUCCCAGACUGAAGGUGAGGAGGAGGCUCAGUGAGUCUUAGAGAUUUGAAAAGCCGUGAAAUCCUGGUUGGAGAACAUCUGAGUCCAAAGGGCCCUCAGAGACUCUCUGACUUCCUCAUUA
rnacentral:lncRNA from 10 species